GCAACCCAACAACAGGUUGACCGAUUUAUCUGAAAAUUUCAGAGCAGAUAGAUGUUGACCUGAUAAACAAUUUUACCCCAUGUCAGAUUUGCUCUAAAUGCUUUGGUUUUUGAGUUAUAAGCCAAAAACUGCAUUUUACCCCUAUGUUCUAUUUUUAGCCAUGGUGGCCAUCUUGGUUGGUUGGCCGGGUCACGCCACACAUUUUUUAAACUAGAUACCCAAAUGAUGAUUGUGGCCAAGUUUGGUUAAAUUUGGCCCAGUAGUUUCAGAGGAGAAGAUUUUUGUAAAAGUUAACAACGACGCCGGACGCCGGACGCCAAGUGAUGGGAAAAGCUCACUUGGCCUUUCGGGCCAGGUGAGCUAAAAA
rnacentral:lncRNA from 1 species